UACGUAGGGGGCGAGCGUUGUCCGGAUUUAUUGGGCGUAAAGAGCGUGUAGGCGGCCAGGUAGGUCUGCUGUGAAAACUCGAGGCUCAACCUCGAGACGUCGGCGGAAACCAUCUGGCUAGAGUCCGGAAGAGGAGAGUGGAAUUCCUGGUGUAGCGGUGAAAUGCGCAGAUAUCAGGAAGAACACCCAUUGCGAAGGCAGCUCGCUGGGACGUUACUGACGCUGAGACGCGAAAGCGUGGGGAGCAAACAGG
rnacentral:rRNA from 1 species